UACGGAGGUGGCAAGCGUUGUUCGGAAUUAUUGGGCGUAAAGGGCGCGUAGGCGGCUUUGCAAGUCAGAUGUGAAAGCCCCGAGCUUAACUCGGGAAUUGCAUCUGAAACUGCUUAGCUUGAGUCCUGGAGGGGGUAGUGGAAUUCCCAGUGUAGCGGUGAAAUGCGUAGAUAUUGGGAGGAACACCGGCGGCGAAGGCGGCUACCUGGACAGUGACUGACGCUGAGGCGCGAAAGCUAGGGGAGCGAACGGG
rnacentral:rRNA from 1 species